rnacentral:rRNA from 1 species
CCCUUAGAUGUUCUGGGCCGCACGCGCGCUACACUGAUGCAUUCAACGAGUCUAAAACCUGCUCUGAUAGGGGUGGGUAAUCUUUUGAAUGUGCAUCGUGAUUGGGAUAGAUGAUUGCAAUUUUUCAUCUUCAACGAGGAAUGCCUAGUAAACGCAAGUCAUCAGCUUGCAUUGAUUACGUCCCUGCCCUUUGUACACACCGCCCGUCGCUCCUACCGAUUGAAUGGUCCGGUGAAGCGCUCGGACCGCGGCCUCUUGACGGUUCGCUGUCGAUUGGCUGUGGGAAGUUCGUUAAACCUUAUCAUUUAGAGGAAGGAGAAGUCGUAACA